UCUUGGUUUCAUCUGAAUCAGGGUUCAAUUUCUUCCAGUCGUAUGUCUCGUAGUCAAUCUGCCAAUCAGGACACAACUAAACAAAAAAUAUUGUUAAAACUUAGAUCCAUUACUUCAAGCAAAGCUAAGCUUAAAAACAGAGGUAACAUCAUUGUAAACCAUCUUACCUGGAAAGCUAAAUCUUGCCCACGCCACACCCAAAUUCCUGAAAUGGUACAAUCAUUGUCUGUUCCAAAUAAGCACAUGGAUGCAAAGCAUUGUUUCCUCAUUUUAUCCAAACGUUGAUACAUGCCUAUUAAAAAAUGUGAAUAUUAUGGGAUUUCUUCUUUGAAAACAAAAAAAAAAAAAAAAAAUUGUGGAAUAUACCAGAGAUUAAAUUGCAAGACAUGAAGACUUUGGUAAGUUCAUCAGAGUAUUUGUACUCUCCAAACCAGAUAGAAUAAUUUUCCUUGUCGAAUUUGUCCCAGAAAUAAGGGAUGGAUUUUGACUCUUCAUUGUUAGAAUAAAAUCUUUUGAAAUCAUCCAUGUUGAAUGUUCCUUUGGGCAUUUCAUCAAAUGGAUCCUUGGACUUGGGUUCCUCUAAUAGGGCUGCAUCAGCUGCAUCCAUUUCCUCAGCCUCUUCUGGCUCUUCCUUCUUUGGCUUUGGUUUCUCUUCUUUUUUCUCUUUCUUCUUUUCAUCCUUGACAGAUUUCUUUUCUUCCUUUUUCAGAGAUCCAGUUAUUUUACCUGUUGACACAUUGGAUAAAAAUGGCAAUGAAUUAAAUGUUUAGAAUUUUCUUACUCUGAAAUUCAGCAAACUUCUUGGGAUCAACUGGACACUCUUUCUGGCAUAUCUUAAAGUCUCCAAUGAUGGCUUUGAAUUGUGGUUGGUUAACACAAGUAAUAAACCAUCUAUUCAAAUUUUGAUAAGGCUUCCUGUUAGUUUCAUCACAAAUGCUCUCAUAAAGGUGGAGAAGAUUGCUAGAAAGAACAAUAUCUGCAAGAGUUAUUUU